rnacentral:rRNA from 1 species
UACGGAGGGGCAAGCGUUGUUCGGAGUCACUGGGCGUAAAGGGCGCGUGAGGCGGUGCAUCAAGUCAGGCGUGAAAGCCCCGGGCUUAACCUGGGAAUUGCGCUUGAUACUGAUGCGCUAGAGAGCAGGAGAGGAUGGCGGAAUUCCCAGUGUAGAGGUGAAAUUCGUAGAUAUUGGGAAGAACACCAGUGGCGAAGGCGGCUCACUGGCCCGAUACUGACGCUGAGGCACGAAAGCGUGGGGAGCAAACAGG